rnacentral:rRNA from 1 species
UACAGAGGGGCAAGCGUUGUUCGGAAUUACUGGGCGUAAAGGGCGCGUAGGCGGUCAGCACAAGUCAGUUGUGAAAUCUCCGGGCUUAACUCGGAAAGGUCAACUGAUACUGUGCGACUAGAGUGCAGAAGGGGCAACUGGAAUUCUCGGUGUAGCGGUGAAAUGCGUAGAUAUCGAGAGGAACACCUGCGGCGAAGGCGGGUUGCUGGGCUGACACUGACGCUGAGGCGCGAA